rnacentral:rRNA from 1 species
AGAGCGAACGCUGGCGGCAUGCUUAACACAUGCAAGUCGAACGCUCGUAGCAAUACGGGAGUGGUAGACGGGUGAGUAACGCGUGGGAACAUACCCUCCGGUUCGGAAUAGCUCAGGGAAACUUGGAUUAAUACCGGAUACGGCUGAGAGGCGAAAGAUUUAUCGCCGGAGGAUUGGCCCGCGUUCGAUUAGCUUGUUGGUGAGGUAACGGCUCACCAAGGCGAUGAUCGAUAGCUGGUCUGAGAGGAUGAUCAGCCACAUUGGGACUGAGACACGGCCCAAACUCCUACGGGAGGCAGCAGUGGGGAAUAUUGGACAAUGGGCGCAAGCCUGAUCCAGCCAUGCCGCGUGAGUGAUGACGGCCUUAGGGUUGUAAAGCUCUUUCGCUCGGGACGAUAAUGACGGUACCGAGAUAAGAACGCCCGGCUAACUUCGUGCCAGCAGCCGC